UCCAAAGAGACUUAGUGGCGAACGGGUGAGUAACACGUAGGUAACCUGCCCAUGUGUCCGGGAUAACUGCUGGAAACGGUAGCUAAAACCGGAUAGGUAUACAGAGCGCAUGCUCAGUAUAUUAAAGCGCCCAUCAAGGCGUGAACAUGGAUGGACCUGCGGCGCAUUAGCUAGUUGGUGAGGUAACGGCCCACCAAGGCAAUGAUGCGUAGCCGGCCUGAGAGGGUAAACGGCCACAUUGGGACUGAGACACGGCCCAAACUCCUACGGGAGGCAGCAGUAGGGAAUUUUCGUCAAUGGGGGAAACCCUGAACGAGCAAUGCCGCGUGAGUGAAGAAGGUCUUCGGAUCGUAAAGCUCUGUUGUAAGUGAAGAACGGCUCAUAGAGGAAAUGCUAUGGGAGUGACGGUAGCUUACCAGAAAGCCACGGCUAACUACGUGCCAGCAGCCGCGGUAAUACGUAGGUGGCAAGCGUUAUCCGGAAUCAUUGGGCGUAAAGGGUGCGUAGGUGGCGUACUAAGUCUGUAGUAAAAGGCAAUGGCUCAACCAUUGUAAGCUAUGGAAACUGGUAUGCUGGAGUGCAGAAGAGGGCGAUGGAAUUCCAUGUGUAGCGGUAAAAUGCGUAGAUAUAUGGAGGAACACCAGUGGCGAAGGC
rnacentral:rRNA from 1 species